GUCCCGCAACGAGCGCAACCCUUAUCCUUUGUUGCCAGCGGUCCGGCCGGGAACUCAAAGGAGACUGCCAGUGAUAAACUGGAGGAAGGUGGGGAUGACGUCAAGUCAUCAUGGCCCUUACGACCAGGGCUACACACGUGCUACAAUGGCGCAUACAAAGAGAAGCGACCUCGCGAGAGCAAGCGGACCUCAUAAAGUGCGUCGUAGUCCGGAUUGGAGUCUGCAACUCGACUCCAUGAAGUCGGAAUCGCUAGUAAUCGUGGAUCAGAAUGCCACGGUGAAUACGUUCCCGGGCCUUGUACACACCGCCCGUCACACCAUGGGAGUGGGUUGCAAAAGAAGUAGGUAGCUUAACCUUCGGGAGGGCGCUUACCACUUUGUGAUUCAUGACUGGGGUGAAGUCGUAACAAGGUAACCGUAGGGGAACCUGCGGUUGGA
rnacentral:rRNA from 1 species